rnacentral:lncRNA from 1 species
UGUUAGACCAAACAUUAGGAUCUCUUCUAAUUGUCCACGCAUUUAUCAGAAUUCUUAACUUCUUAGGUAUGUAAUAUCCAUUAAUUACAAUAUCUUCCAUAGACUCAUGUGGAAUUAGAAGUGGUGUAGUAGGAUGCAGCCUUAAGGUUUCUUUCACCACCAUAUUCAAGUAGUCCAAAUUUUCCAAGUCAGACUCUUCCACCAUUCGACGCAUGCCAACUACAUUCUUUAACUCUUCUUGAAGUUGUCUCAUCACUCUUGGAUGCCUUAGUAGUUCAGAGAGAAUCCACUCAAUUGAAGUAAUUGAAGUGUCAGUUCCACCCGCAAGUGCAUCCAAGAUGAUUGCUUUGACAUUUUUUCGAUCAAUCGCAUAUAACGACUCAUCCUCAUAAUUGUUUGACUUAUUCAUUAGUGAUAGCACAACAUCAAUGAAAUUCAUAUGAUUUACUUCAUCUUUGCUAACAUCUUGUAUAUGCUUAUCAAUUAUCUUCUCCAAGAAUUCAUCUAUAGCCUCACUAUUUGUGCGAAGGAGUUGAGUCGGUCCCUGAAAAUGAAAAAUGCUUAUAAAUGUUUUCUCAUAAACUAGCUAACAUGCUAAUACAUAUUGCAUAUUCUCUUAUACAAAACAUUUAUUGUGAUAAAUUUAUAGAAAUUCCAUGAAACAUUCAAAAGCAAACAAAAACAAAAACAAAAAUGAAAAAGUACUGAGCGAACACUUCAGAAGAAAAUUAAUAUUAUUUGAAAAUUAUUAAAGAAUUAAAGUGUUUAUAAUUUAGUAACUUUUUAAUUAUUUAUUUCAUUAAUAAUAUUUAUUAUUAAUAUACUUAAAUUUUAUAAAUGCAAAGUAUUAUAUUAUUUUAUUAAAUAUAUAAAAAUAUUUUGUAUAUAUUAAAUAAAAAAUUUAUUAGUAUUUUUUUUUCUUUUUGCAUAUAAUAAUUUUUUUUAUCAUUUUUUUUUCAUUUUGAAAAAUGAGUAAUACAAAAAAAUUAAAAACGUUUUUAUUCAAGCUUCACUCGUUGUCUACAAAUGGAGGCUUCACUACCCAUAAGAGCCAUCAAGGGAAACGUAGUUUCAAGGCUAGAAAUAUCGAAAAUAAACUGGAAUAUGGAACUCUUUCCCCAUUGGCUUCUUGACUUCUUCCAUGCGAGGAGUUAUUUCCCUCACUCAUGAUGAAGCAAAUAUAUUACCAAUUUUUACAGAGAAUUUAGUUGAACUAACCAUUUAUUUGAUGAUGAUUAAUGGUUUUAAGAAGUGUUUUUAGUAUUUUUAAACACUUAAAAUUUAUUGUUUUUUAGUAUUAAAAAUAUUAGAAACACUUCCUAAAAUUAAUAAUAAAUAUAUUCUAAAAAUGUGUUUAUCAACAUUUUUUUUAAAUAUUUUUAAUGAAACUAUUUUCUUUAUAAGUAUUUUGAAAAAAAUCUGGCAUUCGAAAGUGAUUCUAAAAAGUGUUUCUAAUAUUUCUAACACUUAAAUGAUAAAAAUUUUCAAAUAUUAAAAAUAUUAAAAGUACUUUCUAUAAUUAUUGUCAAAUAAAUUCUAAGUGUUUUUACAUAAAACAUUAUAAAUGAAUUUUUACAAAUGAUUUUUAGAUUUUUUAAAAUAAUUUUUAAAUUUUAUAAUACAAAUAAUUUAUUUAUUUAUUAAAUAUUUUUAAAAUUAAAAACACUUUUUAGAAUUAUAAACGACUAAAACUAUCUAUCUAUAGUAAAUGAAACCUAAUAUUUGAUAUAUCAUAUUUAAUUGAAUAUAAGAUAAAUAAACUAUAAGAUAAUAUAUUUUAUGACAUAAAAAAGUAUACCACCUUUUAUUUAUGUUACCUCAUUUCUUAAAUAAAUAAAUAAAUGUAAAGGCAUUUUAAUAGGUAUGGAUGACAUAUAAUAAGCUAUAAGAAAAUAGCAUCAAGGUACCUGAAGGUCAAGAGGGCCUAGGAAUGGCACAUAGUCUGCAAGAUUAAAAGUUCCUGCCAACCUAGUGAACUCUCGAAUUAGUGUUUUCAAGUCAAUAAUCUGGACCUUGUUACGUCCAAAAACUGUUGUCGCCUCGCGUAUCCGAUGGUCCACGUUGCUGCUAUAUGGAUGGACACGUGAUUCUCAACACACAAGGGGUUCUUGAUUCAGUGGUUGCACCUGCAAAAGGCAUCCGGACAGGGUGUCCGGACGCACCCUCCGAUGGUUUUAUUAGCCAUGGUGAGAAAGAGAUAUAUAAAUCAGUUGGCCUUUUUCUAGGUAUCAAGAGGUUACCAGGGGAUCCCCUUUUUUCUUCGUGCGAAGGUAUAUAUAUCCAGCUUCAGGGGUACUGUUCCUCUCAUUAAUGGUGAGGAGAUCUUUUCUGUUGUGAUGAUGACAAUAGGUGUUAGUAGGAGCACUAUCAUCCUACGAAUGGCUGUCAGAGACUAUGGUAGGUGAUGCGGCCGUCAGAGAUCGUGGGAAGCGAUUAUGCAGAAUGAUCGUGGGAAGUGACUUGCUGUCACUUCCUCUUGUCUUCUCAUUCUGCAGGUGAUGGGAUGUGGGCCAUGGCUGCUUGUUGUGAUUGCGUGUAAGACUCGCUUUACUUUAAUUGACCAUCCAGAAGAUUUAUAUCCGGAUGGCUCAUGCUGAUUAUCCGGAUGUGUUGUGGAGACUAUCCGGAUGUGUACGCUCUGCCAGCGUCGUUUGCUCUUCCUUGGAUAGGAGAAGAUGAAACGUCGUUUGCCUUUCCUUGAGGCGGUCCGGAUAGGAUAACUGCACCAUGCAUAUCCUUAGGGGAAUCCGGAUGAUGAUGGUCCGGCUGAUAACACGUGCCACGCGUCACUAUGAGCUGCGUGCCACGUGUUUCCCAAGGGGAGGGGUCCCUACAUUGCCCCCCUUUUUAACUUGCCUAUUUUGCCUAAAAAAUGGGCGGGUUAAAAAUAACUGGCUUUUGAAAACUGAAGAAGUCCCUUCGUCUGACUGGGCCACGUGGCGAGUGGGGGUGCGGAAGCCAAAAAGGCAUUUAUGACGAGCCGCCGACCCUGCGUAUCCCCAGACAAUAUGUCGUUUCAAUGAUAACAUGGCUGUUGGUUUGGCUUUCCGAGGGGCUGUCCUGCUAUAAAUAGGGCACUGUACCUCUUUUUGUAUUUUUCCUACUGCAUUCUCUUGAGAGUCUUUCUUCUUACUGCUUUUUCUACGCCCUUUGCUUUUCUGAGAAAAAAACUCCGAAAGCUCUUUUGUACCAGUGCUUUUGUAUCGCGACUUUGUUGGUUUGCUGCUGGUGAUUUUGUAUCAAGGCGGUACCCGUUCUUCUUCUUCGGUGCUGUAUUUGGUACGUAUCUCUUUGCUACUGCCGUUCCUUUGGUUGCGUUUGCUGGUUCUUUACACUUGUUUUCUGGCUUGCUUGGGCAUUGUUUUGGACGAGUCGUUUGCAAUUGUUGUUGAAUGUUGGUACUUUGUUGUUGUUUGGAGGGGUUUUUGAGGGGUUUUUCUAACGGCUUUGAGUUAGGGUUUGUGUAUUUUCUGAUUGCUUGGUCUGAACCGUUUGCAUUGUUUUUGCGUGUAGAUUUUGCUUUGGCUUUGUGGUAAGAAAUGGCUCCAAAAAAGACUGUUUCGUCUGUCCGGGUCAGCGAGGCUGGCGAAAAGGCGAUAGAUAAACUAAAUGCGAAGGAGUUCCGGGAGCGAUUCCGCAUCCCCCAUGACGUAUUGAUAGACCUGGUGAACGAGGAGGCGGCUAUGCCUACUGAGAAAGGUGGAAAAAACGCUAUCCUCUUCACAAAGGAACAAUUCAACGCGGGGCUCCGGUUCCCUCUGCCAGCCUUGUUCAAGGAAUUCCUCCACUUCUCUCAGAUUCCACCCAUCUUCAUUCAUCCCAACCUUGUCCGGGUGCUGAUGGGAGGCAGCAUUAUCAACAUGCUGUACAGCCUCGACCUUACGCUACUGGAAUUGUUCUUUGUCUAUUCCCUGAAGAAAGCAAAGAAUGAUAUCUUCAAUGUGUCCGCUCACCUGCCCUCCCUUCAAAUGGUGACAGAACUGCCAGAUUCGACAAAGGGAGGGGCGAAGGGGCUGGUGGCAGUCUGGGGUGGAUGGGCGGGGCUAUCGCAGCAUCCGUCGAGGCCUUUUUCUCCGAAUUAUAGCUUAAAAACUCCGGGUAAUCUUGUUUUGCGAUUUUUUUUAUCCGGAUUUUGCUUUGCUGAUUUUUUCUGAUUUUUCCGGGCGGAAUUCUCACCUUUUGUUGCUGACAAUGCAGGUUUGGAAUUGAGGGGCCACCUUGUGGAUUGGGUGGAAAAGGCCUCCUUUGCCUGUGUCUGCAAAUUAUUUGAAAUAGAUCCCAAGGAGAGGGCCUACAAAACAUUGUUCUCGGCGCGGAAUUUGACAGAGGUCGUCCGGGAGCCCCAGGAAUAUGUUAUCAACAUCCUUCCUAGGAAAUUGGCAAAGGAUGAGAUAGUGCCUGGGGAGCAUUAUACAGUGAAAGAGCUCUCCCUCUAUCAGGAAGCUAAAGAAGCUGACGCUGAAAGGCGGCGAAAGCUCCUGGAGGAUAGAGAUCAGAAAAAGACUGAAGGCACUAUCCGGAAGGCUCCCGGACAGAAGCGGGGUCCGGACUCCCCUCCGAAGAAAACUUUAGGAAAAAGGGGGAAGCUGGUGAAGAAGCAUGGGAAGGAUGCGAAGGAACCCACUCCUCCCAAGGAGUUUCCUCCUCCACAAACUACCUAUGAGGGGGAAGUAAUGAUAGAGGAGCCAGUAAAUGCUGCUCCGCACUCUAUCUCAAGCGACCCCGGGCGCAUGUCGGGGUUGAAUCACUCAGGUCCCUCCUUAGUCGCGGCUGCGCGUCUAGCCAACGUGGCUGAGGAAGCUGCAUCUAUCAACCAUCCGGGCAACCUCAAUCCGGAUGCAGCUGAAACGGCCUUGUUAGAGGAAGCGGGGGCAGAAAGCCAAAGUCAGCCUUCCGACGACCCGGAUCGCUUGGCCAUAGUCCUGGUGAAAGGGCCUCCCCUCAAGAAGCCGCGUUUGACGCGCGAUCUACAGUCCGGACUCUUUGAGCGACUUCAAGAGCGGCAGCAAGAGAUUGAAAUUAGCUGCGCUUCUGCCCAUGACGCUCAUCCGGAUGGAGGCGAGGUGGAGAUGGCUACUGAGACCUCAGCCGCUCCGGCAAUAAUUCCGGCUGAGGAUGCAUCCGGACCUAUGUGCCCGGACGAAAAUACGGGGGCUCCGAUUCCGGGACACGAGCUACCCUCUCCUUCCUCAUCCGAGGAGGAAUCUGCUGAUGAUGCCGCUCCCGCCAGCCCUUUCAGCUACGCGGAGUUGGAAGCUAAGUUAAAGCAGAUUACUCCUGACUGGAAAGCCAUCAAGCCCUCUGCUAAGAUGUUUGAUAUGAUAGGAACGGUACACCGUUGUCUUGUGUUUUUGCUUUUUGACUUUUUGUUGCACUGAUGUGUUUGUUGUAGUAUGAUUUAUGUUUUUGCUUUUCUUGUUUGUGUGUUAGCUGGUGAGGGGCCUUCGCAGCAUGUCUCAACAACACGCUCUUUUUACUCAGCUGCUGCAGACUGCAGACUAUAUGAGGACCUUCUCCUCUCGGCGCCAAGAGAUUGAAAAUCAGCUGCGUCUGAGAAUGGAGGAGGCUGAGGCCAAUUUAUCCACCAUGCGAGAGGAAAAUGAAGCCCUCCGAGCGGAGCUGGCUGAGGCGAAGAAUCGCGAAGAAUCGACUGCGGGUUGCCUACAUGAGGCGGAGGGUGAGGCAGCCCGGCUGAGGGAUGAAGUGAGUCAACUCUGGACAGAAGUUUUGAAUGAAAAGAAACAGAAGGAAGACUUGCAGCUGCGUCUGGAUGUGCAAAAAGAGGAACUUGAACGGGAGUUUGCUGUGGAAAGGGAGGAACUUGCAACGGAUUACCAGAAACAAGUGGAUGAUACAUUUAUCUUUGGGUAUCGCUGCUGCAUGAAGAAGAACGGUAUAAAGCGAGAUACCCCUUCAAUUCCUCCAAGUGAAGAAAAGAAGCUCCAUGAGAAACCUGCUCCCUGAUAGUUUAUCUCUUCUUGCAAUUUUUCUGCUGUAAUUUUUCCUUCUGUAUAUUUUUGUGGUCCGGAUGUCUCUUUGUAAUUACAUUUACUCAUAUCAAUAAAACUUACUUCUUUCUCAUUUGCACUUGUGUACACUUUCUACUGAUAAUACUGCUUUAAAUUAAACACAUUCCAUGGUCUGAGUAACGGAGUGCCAUCUAGCUUUUGUAAAUGAUAGGCUCCAUUUUCAUUUGCCUUAGACACUAUGUAGGGUCCUUCCCAAUUGGCUUGAAAUUUUCCUGCGCCUACUUCAGCAGUAUUUUCAAAAACUUUUCUAAGUACUAGCGUACCAUUUUUGAAGUUUCUGGGCCUGACUUUUCGAUUGUAAUGCGCUGAUACUCUUUGUUGAUAUCUGCCAUCCGGAUGGAUGCGCUUUUCUCUGACUUCGUCUNNNNNNNNNNNNNNNNNNNNNNNNNNNNNNNNNNNNNNNNNNNNNNNNNNNNNNNNNNNNNNNNNNNNNNNNNNNNNNNNNNNNNNNNNNNNNNNNNNNNGGCGGAGCUUUUGAGCAGCACUUCGAAGAGCUAAGGCUGUUAGCUCCAUUUUUGAAUACCUGGUUUCUACAUCUGCCAAAGAUCUGCUGACAUAGUAGACAGGUUUCUGCUCCUUUGGCGAAGGGCAGCGGAAUAGAACGACGCUGAUUGCCCAUUCUGAGACAGCUAAAUACAUAUAUAGCUUCUCCUUUGGGAUGGGGCUGCUCAAGAUGGGCGGAUGCAUAAGACAGUGUUUAAUUCUUUCCAACGCGUUUUGGCAAUUGUCCGUCCAUCCCUGCGUUCCAGCUUUUCGUAUCGCUAAAAAGAAGGGUCGCAACUCAUCAGUGAAGCGGGCUAUAAAACGUCCUAACGCAACGAGCUUGCCUGUGAGGCGUUGUAACUCCUUUUUGUUCCUGGGAGGAGGUGUCUCCAUGACUGCUUUGACUUGAUCCGGGCUGACUUCUAUGCCUCUUUGGCUGACCAUAAAUCCCAGAAAUUUGCCAGCACUCACGCCAAAGGCACAUUUGGAAGGAUUUAGCUUCAUGUCAUACUUUCGCAAGAGGUAAAAUACUUCUUGUAAAUGGAGGAUAUGCUGCUCUCGAGUUUUGCUUUUAACCACGAUAUCGUCAAUGUAUACCUCGACCGAGCGGCCUAUCAGAGGUUUGAAGAUUUUAGUCAUCAAUCUUUGAUACGUGGCGCCAGCGUUUUUGAGUCCGAAUGACAUGACUUUGUAGCAAUAGAGCCGUGUGGCGUUNNNNNNNNNNNNNNNNNNNNNNNNNNNNNNNNNNNNNNNNNUGUCAAAUUGUGGACCAUUGUCAGCUAUGAUGAUUUGGGGAAUCCCAAAGCGGCAAACAAUGUUCUUCCAUACGAACUUGGUAACAUCUUUAUCUUUGAUGCUUGCAUAUGCUUCAGCUUCUACCCAUUUACUGAAGUAAUCAGUGGCGACAAGAAGGAAUUUCUUUUGGGCGGGUGCUGCUGGGAGGGGUCCCACUAUGUCCAUGCCCCACUGUGCGAAAGGCCAUGGGCCUGAGACCGAUUUUAAUGCGACUGAUGGUAUAUGUGGAAUGGGAGCGUAUCUUUGACAUUUAUCACAUUUUUGGACAUAUGCUGCCGCGUCUUUCUUCAUUGUUGGCCAAUAGUAUCCUUGUGAAUGAGCUCUAUGUGCUAGGGAUCGUCCUCCCGUAUGAUUUCCGCAUAUUCCUUCAUGUAACUCAGCUAACACAUACUGGGCCUCUGAAUGCCCAAGACAGCGAAGAUAAGGCCCUGUGAAGGAUCGCUUGUACAGGUGCCCCCCAAUCAGGGUGAAACGGGCAGCUUGCACCCGGAUUUUGUGCGCUCGUUUAGGAUCUUCGGGUAAAGUUCCUGUCCGGAGAUAUUCUGCAAUAUCAUGCGUCCAUUCUUGAUCAUCCGUUUGGUCUGCCUCAAUGGAGUUGCAAGUGGAAUUUUCUGCGACAGAGGGAUUGGCUUGUACAUGGAUAGGCAAUAGAAUGGCUUCUCUGAUGGGGAGGGAAGCAGCUAUACCGGCCAAGACGUCAGCGCGCCCGUUGUCAGCUCGCUUAAUUUUUUCAAUUGUCCACUCGGUGAAUUGCUGUAAGGUGCUUCUUACUUUGGCCAAAUAUCGCGCCAUGCGUGAGUCCUUAGCCUCAUAUUCUUUCUGGACAUGCCUUACCACUAGUUGCGAGUCGCUAUAGAUUCGGAGUUUGGAGACGGAUAGCGCAAGAGCGAGGUCCAAUCCGGACAGGAUGGCCUCGUAUUCUGCUUCAUUGUUAGACGCGGAGAAUCCCAGCCGGAUGGCCUGCUCCAGAUGUUCCCCAGUUGGGGACUGCAAUAAGAGCCCAACUCCAGAGCCUGAUGAGCGUGAGGCUCCGUCAACUCGUAGAGUCCACCACUCCUGUUCACCUGAUUCGUGGUGCUGGUCGGGUCUUCGUGAAUAUUCGAGCACGAAGUCGGCCAUUACUUGGCCUUUUUUGGAUAAUCUGGGUUGGAAUUCGAUUCCAAAUUCGCUCAAUUCGAUGGCCCAUUGUAGCAUUCGCCCAGUUAAAUCUGGCUUGUGUAGAAUGCUACGAAGGGGCUGGUCGGUCAGUACAAUCACUGGGUGGGCUUGAAAAUAGGGGCGGAGCUUUUGAGCAGCACUUCGAAGAGCUAAGGCUGUUAGCUCCAUUUUUGAAUACCUGGUUUCUACAUCUGCCAAAGAUCUGCUGACAUAGUAGACAGGUUUCUGCUCCUUUGGCGAAGGGCAGCGGAAUAGAACGACGCUGAUUGCCCAUUCUGAGACAGCUAAAUACAUAUAUAGCUUCUCCUUUGGGAUGGGGCUGCUCAAGAUGGGCGGAUGCAUAAGACAGUGUUUAAUUCUUUCCAACGCGUUUUGGCAAUUGUCCGUCCAUCCCUGCGUUCCAGCUUUUCGUAUCGCUAAAAAGAAGGGUCGCAACUCAUCAGUGAAGCGGGCUAUAAAACGUCCUAACGCAACGAGCUUGCCUGUGAGGCGUUGUAACUCCUUUUUGUUCCUGGGAGGAGGUGUCUCCAUGACUGCUUUGACUUGAUCCGGGCUGACUUCUAUGCCUCUUUGGCUGACCAUAAAUCCCAGAAAUUUGCCAGCACUCACGCCAAAGGCACAUUUGGAAGGAUUUAGCUUCAUGUCAUACUUUCGCAAGAGGUAAAAUACUUCUUGUAAAUGGAGGAUAUGCUGCUCUCGAGUUUUGCUUUUAACCACGAUAUCGUCAAUGUAUACCUCGACCGAGCGGCCUAUCAGAGGUUUGAAGAUUUUAGUCAUCAAUCUUUGAUACGUGGCGCCAGCGUUUUUGAGUCCGAAUGACAUGACUUUGUAGCAAUAGAGGCCGUGUGGCGUUAUGAAUGCUGUUUUUUCUUCGUCAUCCGGAGACAUGGGAAUUUGGUGAUAGCCGGAGAAGGCAUCCAAGAAAGAGAGCAUCCCUUGCCCGGAAGUGGAAUCCACAAUUUGAUCUAUCCGUGGUAAGGGAAAACUGUCUUUUGGACAUGCAUUAUUGAGAUUGGUGUAAUCAACACAGACUCGCCAUUUGCCCUCUUUCUUUGGUACCACUACUACAUUUGCCAACCAAUCCGGAUAAGAUACCUCUCUGAUGAAUCCGGCUUCCAACAAUUUGUUAAUUUCAUCUUGGAUAACUCUUUGUCUAUCCGGAAUGUAGGGACCCCUCCCCUUGGGAAACACGUGGCACGCAGCUCAUAGUGACGCUUGGCACGUGUUAUCAGCCGGACCAUCAUCAUCCGGGAUUCCCCUAAGGAUAUGCAUGGUGCAGUUAUCCUAUCCGGACCGCCUCAAGGAAAGGCAAACGACGUUUCAUCUUCUCCUAUCCAAGGAAGAGCAAACGACGCUGGCAGAGCGUACACAUCCGGAUAGUCUCCACAACACAUCCGGAUAAUCAGCAUGAGCCAUCCGGAUAUAAAUCUUCUAUCGAAUGGGUCUGGCUGCUGGAAAGACGUUAAGCUUGUGAGAGGCGAUAGAGGGAUGAAUUCCCUUCAUAUCCGAAUGUGUCCAUGCGAAGAUGUCAUGGUUACUUUGAAGGAUAUUCUGUAUGCUCUGGGUUUCUUCUUGUGUCAUGAGGGAACUGAUGUUUGUGAGGUGAUCAUUCUCUUCUGAGAUUUGGAUUGUUUGUAAGGGAUCUGCUACCGGGGGAUCCUUGUCCACCGGACCCAAUAAUUGCUAUUGGUCGCGCCAAUGCUAGGUUCAGGGGGAGAUGCAUCCUCCUGGUUAGCGACUGCUUCACGUGCUAUUUGGUAGCACUGGCGAGCGGCUAACUGGCUGCCAUACAAGUCAGUUUGCCCUUCAUUGGUGAGGAAACUCACCAUUUGAUGAUAUGUGGAAGGGAUGACUUUCAUGUAGUGAAGCCAUGUGCGUCCCAAGAUGAUAUUGAAGGGUGACAAUUCUUGCACCACCGAGAAUUGCACGUUGAGAGUGACUGGUCCAGCUCGAACUGGCAGUAUAAUGUCUCCUAAGGAUGUUGUUGAUGAUCCGUUGAAUCCGGAUAAGAUUCGUCCGGGGUUUUCGAGACCCGCGAGACUAUGUCCCAUAUGGCCAAUGACUGAUGCUUGUACUAGAUCGGCUGAACUGCCUGGAUCAACCAAGAUACGUCUUACAUCAAAAUCUCCUAUUUCUAGAGAGAGGAUGAGGGCGUCGCGAUGUGGCUAUAGCGUCCGGGUGGGAUCUACUGGUGGGAAAAUGAUUGUCCCAUCUAUGGGGCGAGGGCCCUCUCCAGUAAGACCCGACCGGAUGGAAUUAAUGCGCUCGCGUAUUGACGCGGCCAGCAGCAAUUUCUGCCUUUUACGCCUGGAAUCGUAUUCCUCGUCAGACGGGCCCCCAUUGAUAUAGUUUAUCACAGCCUUGGGGGCGACUGGGGCCCUCGGGGCCUCAGAGUUAUGAUGCUGAGAUACGUCCCUUCCUCCAGUAUCUGAGCGGAGGUACUGGUUUUAAAUGUCUGCUUUGAUGAGCCUUUCACUAGAUACUGGAGGGAUCGACAUGUCUCUGUUGUAUGACCAUGGUCUUUGUGGAAGGCGCAUUUCUUGCUGCGGUCUCUUAUGGAUGGGUCCGUUUCGAGGGGUCUAGGCCACCUGAAGUCGGACAACCCUUGGAUCAUCGGGAGAAGUUUUUCGUAUGAUACGCAUAGGGGUGUGACGGGCGGCCUAUUCGGACGACUCGGCCCGUCCUGUCUCCGGUCAACUGGUUUUGGACGGUCCGGAGGCUUGGCAUGCCUGUCCGCGUUAUCUCUAGAAGCCCGUCCGGCAACCAAAACUUGCUGAGUGGCUGCACGCACGUCAUCUUCGAGCAUUGAAUAUUUGUUAGCACGUCUGAACAAAUCGGCCAUCGUUGUAGGAGGCUUUUUUGCCAGUGAUUCAAAAAAUGGAGUGCCUGGACAAAUGCUUCUCUUGAAGAUUUGUAGGACAGCAUCCAUGCUGCAAACCUCUAUUUGGAGUACGGCUUGGCCAAAUCGUUUCACAAAUUCCCUCAAGGAUUCGUUGUCUCUCAUUUUUAUGUUCUGGAGGGUGCUGAUAUUUUGCUUGUGUCGAGCAGAGCACAAGUACUGUCCCACGAAUGCUUCAGAGAGGUCCCUGAAAUUGUCAAUAGAGUUAGGAGGUAGGCGAUGAAACCAUGAGAGGGCCUGCCCUUGAAGGCUGGCGGGGAAUACUUUGCAUAACAAUGCAUCGUUGCCAAUAUCGAGCGUCAUAAGCUGUCGAUAGUGCAUGAUGUGAUCGAAGGGGUCGUUGGUCCCAUCAUAUGUGGAAAACUUCGGUACGAGGAAUCCCCUUGGGGGUUCGUAAUGAGUGAUAUGAGAGCAAAAAGGCGUGGAGAGCAUGUCAUCCAGCCUUUUGCUGAUGGAGCCAAUGGGUGGCUCGUUUGGAAGGUUUCUCCCAGCUGGUCGUUCCGCUAGGUGUGAGUGAACGUUCCGCAUCGCUGGGGUGACCAUGGGGUCACGAUGCGGAGGUACGUUCUGCACCAUGGGAGCGAUCAUAGGAUCGGGGCGUGGCGCCCGGGUUGUGGCUGCUAGUGGCCUUGAUCUUCCAGGCUCUUGUGGGCCUAGUCUUGCGCGCAUAGAACUUGACAACUGUGAUUUUCUAUCACGCUGUCUUUUUGCUGAGAAAUGAGUGGAAUCUGAGCUUUCCUCACGGGGAGCUCGAGGCAUGGGUGUGAGUGGCUCAUGGGGCCUUGCGUUGUACGUUCCUGGGAUAGCUCCUGUUGACCCAGGAUAUAUUGAUUCUGGCUCUGGCUUUGAGUUUGCCACCUGGCCUUUUGAGCGCUGACGACGAAGAGGUCCUGAUGUUGAGGCUUGAAUGCGUAACACAGCGUUUUCUUCCCUUAACCUCUCCGUCUCCUGGAGGAGAGCUUUUAGCUGUUUUUCGCUCGCCAACUGUCUUUUUUCGAUGGCUUGACGCCAUUCGUGAUUAUCUUCUUCCUCUCUACCAGAUGAUCGACUUUGGGAAGGUGUGGCCAUCUUUGCUAGUGACUGAAUCAAAAUAAAAAGUAAAAUUUUCCCACAGACGGCGCCAAUGUUGUCGCCUCGCGUAUCCGAUGGUCCACGUUGCUGCUAUAUGGAUGGACACGUGAUUCUCAACACACAAGGGGUUCUUGAUUCAGUGGUUGCACCUGCAAAAGGCAUCCGGACAGGGUGUCCGGACGCACCCUCCGAUGGUUUUAUUAGCCAUGGUGAGAAAGAGAUAUAUAAAUCAGUUGGCCUUUUUCUNNNNNNNNNNNNNNNNNNNNNNNNNNNNNNNNNNNNNNNNNNNNNNNNNNNNNNNNNNNNNNNNNNNNNNNNNNNNNNNNNNNNNNNNNNNNNNNNNNNNCAUGCCUGUCCGCGUAUCUCUAGAAGCCCGUCCGGCAACCAAAACUUGCUGAGUGGCUGCACGCACGUCAUCUUCGAGCAUUGAAUAUUUGUUAGCACGUCUGAACAAAUCGGCCAUCGUUGUAGGAGGCUUUUUUGCCAGUGAUUCAAAAAAUGGAGUGCCUGGACAAAUGCUUCUCUUGAAGAUUUGUAGGACAGCAUCCAUGCUGCAAACCUCUAUUUGGAGUACGGCUUGGCCAAAUCGUUUCACAAAUUCCCUCAAGGAUUCGUUGUCUCUCAUUUUUAUGUUCUGGAGGGUGCUGAUAUUUUGCUUGUGUCGAGCAGAGCACAAGUACUGUCCCACGAAUGCUUCAGAGAGGUCCCUGAAAUUGUCAAUAGAGUUAGGAGGUAGGCGAUGAAACCAUGAGAGGGCCUGCCCUUGAAGGCUGGCGGGGAAUACUUUGCAUAACAAUGCAUCGUUGCCAAUAUCGAGCGUCAUAAGCUGUCGAUAGUGCAUGAUGUGAUCGAAGGGGUCGUUGGUCCCAUCAUAUGUGGAAAACUUCGGUACGAGGAAUCCCCUUGGGGGUUCGUAAUGAGUGAUAUGAGAGCAAAAAGGCGUGGAGAGCAUGUCAUCCAGCCUUUUGCUGAUGGAGCCAAUGGGUGGCUCGUUUGGAAGGUUUCUCCCAGCUGGUCGUUCCGCUAGGUGUGAGUGAACGUUCCGCAUCGCUGGGGUGACCAUGGGGUCACGAUGCGGAGGUACGUUCUGCACCAUGGGAGCGAUCAUAGGAUCGGGGCGUGGCGCCCGGGUUGUGGCUGCUAGUGGCCUUGAUCUUCCAGGCUCUUGUGGGCCUAGUCUUGCGCGCAUAGAACUUGACAACUGUGAUUUUCUAUCACGCUGUCUUUUUGCUGAGAAAUGAGUGGAAUCUGAGCUUUCCUCACGGGGAGCUCGAGGCAUGGGUGUGAGUGGCUCAUGGGGCCUUGCGUUGUACGUUCCUGGGAUAGCUCCUGUUGACCCAGGAUAUAUUGAUUCUGGCUCUGGCUUUGAGUUUGCCACCUGGCCUUUUGAGCGCUGACGACGAAGAGGUCCUGAUGUUGAGGCUUGAAUGCGUAACACAGCGUUUUCUUCCCUUAACCUCUCCGUCUCCUGGAGGAGAGCUUUUAGCUGUUUUUCGCUCGCCAACUGUCUUUUUUCGAUGGCUUGACGCCAUUCGUGAUUAUCUUCUUCCUCUCUACCAGAUGAUCGACUUUGGGAAGGUGUGGCCAUCUUUGCUAGUGACUGAAUCAAAAUAAAAAGUAAAAUUUUCCCACAGACGGCGCCAAUGUUGUCGCCUCGCGUAUCCGAUGGUCCACGUUGCUGCUAUAUGGAUGGACACGUGAUUCUCAACACACAAGGGGUUCUUGAUUCAGUGGUUGCACCUGCAAAAGGCAUCCGGACAGGGUGUCCGGACGCACCCUCCGAUGGUUUUAUUAGCCAUGGUGAGAAAGAGAUAUAUAAAUCAGUUGGCCUUUUUCUAGGUAUCAAGAGGUUACCAGGGGAUCCCCUUUCUUCUUCGUGCGAAGGUAUAUAUAUCCAGCUUCAGGGGUACUGUUCCUCUCAUUAAUGGUGAGAAGAUCUUUUCUGUUGUGAUGAUGACAAUAGGUGUUAGUAGGAGCACUAUCAUCCUACGAAUGGCUGUCAGAGACUAUGGUAGGUGAUGCGGCCGUCAGAGAUCGUGGGAAGCGAUUAUGCAGAAUGAUCGUGGGAAGUGACUUGCUGUCACUUCCUCUUGUCUUCUCAUUCUGCAGGUGAUGGGAUGUGGGCCAUGGCUGCUUGUUGUGAUUGCGUGUAAGACUCGCUUUACUUUAAUUGACCAUCCAGAAGAUUUAUAUCCGGAUGGCUCAUGCUGAUUAUCCGGAUGUGUUGUGGAGACUAUCCGGAUGUGUACGCUCUGCCAGCGUCGUUUGCUCUUCCUUGGAUAGGAGAAGAUGAAACGUCGUUUGCCUUUCCUUGAGGCGGUCCGGAUAGGAUAACUGCACCAUGCAUAUCCUUAGGGGAAUCCGGAUGAUGAUGGUCCGGCUGAUAACACGUGCCACGCGUCACUAUGAGCUGCGUGCCACGUGUUUCCCAAGGGAAGGGGUCCCUACAAAAACCAUUCGAUACGCCAUAUCUUCGACAACCCCAGCUACCAUUGCGCUGAUAUCCACCACCUCUCCAGCACUCGCCAUGUCCUUAACUGACUUCACUAACAACCCACCUCCUCCUUCCUCACUGAGGCAAAGGAAUUGAUUUUUGCACUGCUAAAAAGCUCCAAUGCACACAAUUUUCUCACAUGCCGCCAGUACGGACCAUACUCCGUAAAUGCAACGCCCUUAGCCCCGUAGCUCAGGUAUUCAAAGGCCUGGAGUUUUGGACGGCUAGCAAACACAACAUCAUGGGUUUUCAUGACUAGCUUGGCGGCUUCAGGCGACGACACUACGAUAGUUGGAACACACCCCAGUCGCAUAAACAUGAUAGGCCCAUACUUCUUGGCCAAGCGGCUAAGGUUACGGUGAGGCAGGCUCCCCAACAUGUGGAGGCUACCAAUAAUUGGUAAACCCCAAGGUCCCGGUGGCAGUUUCCGGUAGCCUGCCCGGAGUUUUAGGUGUGAUAAAGUGACCCACAUGGCUCCAAGGAUGACUAGGAGAAUAGCAACGGUGAAAAGAGCCAUUGGUACUGAUAAUGGGAAAGUAGAGUUUGAGAUAUGAGAAGUGAUGAUAGAAGGCUACCCAUAUAUAUAGAUAUUAUAUUGCCACACAUUAUUGUAGGGUGGAUAUAUAUGGUAUUGUGAUGGGACAAGGUUACCGAAAAACUUGGGAAGAAUACAAUGAAUAAAGCUCCAUCAACCAAUGUUUUGCAAAUGAACAUGUGUCGCGUUUCUCUGCUUUUGAUAGGACAGAACAUAGGAAAGUAACGUACAAAUAUGGACCACAUUAAAGAAGACAUUGAAAGUAAUCAUCAUAUUUACGAUCUUCAACACAUGGAAAUGAAACUAGUGUUUAUUACUUUUAAGUAUUAAAUUAUUUUUUUUUUUUUACUUUUAUUAAGUACUUAAAAAAAUCACAAAUAGUUUAUUCGUAUUAUUAUAUAUUUUUUAUUUUAUUUUACUUAUGUUGUAGAAUUUUCACAAAAUUUGAACGUACAAAUUUCUGACAAGUACUCAAUCAACGGUUGUCGUCAAUUUCUGGCAAGUACUCAAUCAACGGUUGUCGUCAAUCUUUGUGAUAAAAAAAAAUAGUUUUAUCAUUUUCUAAAUUAUGAUCAAAGUGAAAAAAAUAAAUCAAUAAAUAAAAAAUAAAAUAAAUAUAUAUAAUUCUAUGCCUACUUAGGAUAGGAAAAGAAAAAUAUUAAGUUUUGGAUUUGGUUUGAACUCUUCAAACAAGAGGAUUAUCCAGAUUAUCCUUAUAAGCGUGUUAAUAACACUAAGAGCACUGAUAAAAUUAAGUCCUUUGAAUUUUCUAAGGAAUUCCAGGAAAAUCCCCAAAUCAACCAGGCUUUUGUUGAUAGGAUUAAUCAGAAGAUUAAGGAUAAUCUUGUUGCCCCUUUGACUGUUCAGCCUCAUAAGAGAAUCAAUAUGGUUAAAGGUGAUAUUAGUUCAGAAGAAGAAGCUGAUGAACUAAUUAAAAUGUUUGAGGAACCCCAUAAUCAAAUAAUCAUGGCAUAAUUCCUGUUUUCAUUGCAUAUGACCUUGUCCUGGGUGUCUAUGGUAUCAGAGCCAUCGGGAAGGGAAGUUGGAUUUGUUUUGGGUGUUUUGGCCUAUCCUAGGAUAGGUAGCAGUGUGCCUAGGAGCGCGAGCCUUGCCGGUUGAGCCGUUGUUAGCCGUGGAUAGGCGUUUGUUAGGUUGUAAGAGGGUUGGGGUGACGUCUCAUAAGGUUUGUCAAUCUGCUAUUAGGCUCUAGAUCAAAACCCUAAAAUGAGUUCAAUUUUCAGAACCAUGUCUAGGAGAUCUAGUGAUUCUCAAGAUACUGUUGUAAACAGUGAAGAGAUCAAUUAUCCUAAGAUCCAAAAUGAUUUAGAUGAUUGGAAGUUACCCAAGGUGUUUAAUCAAGAAAUUUAUAAGAAAUGAACCUUUAAGUUCUUCACAGAUUAUACCAUCAAGACCUCUGAAAUGUCAGUCAGCUUAGAACAAGACGACCAAGUCAUAAGACUUCUAGAUAACAGAUCCAUUGAAAAGCAUAAGAGAAAUGGCUAUAAUUUCAUACACUUUGGUAUGAUUCAAGUAGCAGCUAAACCCUUGACAAGAUUAGGUUUAAACACCUCUAUUGUCAUGUGUUUAAGGGAUAAUAGGCAUCUCGAAUAUUGAGAUUCUAUUAUAGGCGCAGUCCAAGCUGGACUGAAUGAUGACCCAGUUUAUUUCCAGUGCUAUCCUAACUUCACAGUUAGAAUAAGAGAUGCAGACAUCUUAGAUUUCGUUGUCCUACAUAUUAAGACCCAUGGCUUUAAGAUCAAACCAGGAAACAGUCCUGUUUCAAUCAUAACCAGGUUUGCCUAUAAGAGCAUGAACACAAGCGUUGGAUCUGGGGCUCUUUGCACCAGUCCUAAGGGUGAGACCACUUACUUUCACUCAGAUAUGCUAGAUAAGUCAGAUUUCAUCAUCCCCAAGAAGAUCUUGUGGAAAGAUGUUGAGUUUCCUGAAAAUUGGCAUUUUGCUAAUGCUGUUCCAGCCAUUGCACAUCGAUCUGAAAGUAUUGAACAAAUUGUUCAAUAUCCUGAUGGAGGAGGAGAACUAGUUUUCUCCAACUCUUUCAGACAUUCUAGCAGCCCUAGAGUUUCUGUUUAUGAACCCUCUAGAGCUUCAAGCUCUUCCAUCCCAGUUAGAACCACUAGGGAAGAAGAAGGUUCCAACUCAGGAAAUCUUAAGAAUAUUAAGCUAACAGGUGUUAGAAGUCACACCAAUGUGACUAGACCAUUUUACCUGAGGAAAAUGAGUCUACUCAGGAAUCCCAACAGGAUGAGUCCCCUAUAAUGUCUCCUACCUAUUCCCAGAUGAUUAACAUAAUAAGCCUAAGUGAUGAGGACUUUGAGAUCAACAAGGAUCUCUUAAGAAAAGACUUCUAUUCUGAUGACAAUAAGCAAAGAAAUGAUUGGUUCUUUAGCACUAUCCCUAAAGUCAUUAGAGCCAUUCACCAAGAAGAAUUCUAUGCCUACUUAGGACAGGAAACGAAAAAUAUUAAGUUUUGGAUUUGGUUUGAACUCUUCAAACAAGAGGAUUAUCCAGAUUAUCCUUAUAAGCGUGUUAAUAACACUAAGAGCACUGAUAAAAUUAAGUCCUUUGAAUUUUCUAAGGAAUUCCAGGGAAAUCCUCAAAUCAACCAGGCUUUUGUUGAUAGGAUUAAUCAGAAGAUUAAGGAUAAUCUUGUUGCCCCUUUGACUGUUCAGCCUCAUAAGAGAAUCAGUUCAUGAUAAGCUUAAAACCGGCCAUGAUAGGCGGUACAAGAAUAAAAAACAUAAAAUUAAAAUCAAAGCUUAAUUAAAACCAUCCAUGUAGGAGGUACAAGAACAUAAAAUGAAAUGAAAACAAAACUUAAAAAAAACCAUCCAUAUAGGAGGUAAUCAAAACAUAUUUAUAUUAUACAUAAGGAGAAAUAUCUUACAAUGGACAAGGGUAGGAAAGCUUAGAGAAAGCUUGAAAGCUUGAAGGGCUUACAUGAUGAGAGAGAAAGAAGAGAGAAGGGAGAGCAUAAACUUGGGAGAGGUUUCAGAUCUAAAAUUAUGAGUGCUUACAAAUGGAGAUCAAGUCUCCUUAAAUAGGCAAAAAGAUGAAUAGUAACCUCGUGCAUGAAUAGUGAAUAGUGAAUAGUAAAAUUCAUUUUUCCACCGAAUUCCACCGAAAAAACCUAUUUUCGGUUGAGAAGACUUCUGACAGGAUUCUUUAGACUGUGUAGUCACAUGCUUGCUGCUUUUGGUGCAGAAACUGUAAAGCUUGUAAAAUAUUCUUGAUGGAAGACAUAAGGCUGAUGAUUACUUAGAUCUUCUUAUUGGAGGAAGGAUUCCUUCAUAGUCAUCACCAUUGUCUGGAAGGUAGCUUGUUGAAUCAUCAGACUCUGCAUAAGAAUUUUCUUGGGAGAAGCUUGAGUUUCCUUCUUCAAGGAUUUUCUGGAAAUCUUGAGGGGUCUUAGCUGCUGCGAGCAUGGCUUGUAACUGUUGCUUUUUGAGGAGAAAUUGAGACAUAUCAUCACUGACUGAGACUUGUGUGGGGUUCUUGAGGAAAUACUGUUUGACUGCAUCAAUAGAUGCAUCAUUUUUCAAGGCAUCCCACCAUUUAGUUUUAAAAGUCCUUCCCAGAGAUGGAAAGGCUGCUGAUUCGUUUUAAUGAUAAUAUAGUCCCACUGGACUAUCCAAGCAAGGCCAAAUUUGCUGAAAAAGAAUAGUAAAGGGGGAAAAGCUGAAAGUUCUCUAGGGAUAUCAAAAGAACUUCUGAAUAGCUCAAAGCCAUCUAGGAUGGGCUUAGGAAGAAUCUUAAUAGUCGAACCAUAAUAAGUCCACCAACUGUAGAACCAAAAUAGGAAAGAGGAAAGCUGAUUCUUAGAUGGAAAAUAGAACAUCCAUGAAUGAUGGAAGUCCCUAUUCUGGAUCAGAAAAGCAUUAAACCAUGCUCUCUGAUAAUCCCAAUAAUUAAAAAACCUUGGCUUUGAUGGUUCAAAAAAUUCCCUUGAAAGAUUAGGAUUUCCACCCCAUUGCUUGACAGUAAGAAUCUUAUAGAUAUGGCAGGUGGAGAAUGCCAAACCCAUAUUGCUGAAUUUGUCAGCAUUAUGCUUAAUUUUAACAUAACCAGUUUCUGUAAGGACUGCUUCAUCAAACUCUCUUGUUUUUAAAAUAUCACCAGAGGGAUAAUGAAAAUUUUCUUGAAAAGCUUUUGCAGUAAUUUCUCUGGGGUUUUCAGAGAAAAAUUCUCUUUCAAUAACCAAAAGAGGUUGAUUUAAAUCAUUUUGCCAAUAUCUUGAUUUUGUUGAAAGAGGUGUGGGGUUGGCAGCCACCACAAUUUGCUUGUUUGAAAAAGAAGAGCUUGAUGCUAAUUCCUUUUGAGAGGGAUUAACCUUAGUGACUUGCUUGAAGGUCUGGGACCCUGAAAUGGCUGGGUACUGGGUGGCCUUGACUGGAUUAGCUGGAUCAGAAUGAUCAUAGUACAGGGUCAUCAUCUUGUUAGGCAUAGGGUUAGAAGAAUGAAGCCUUGCUUCUUCUUCCUCAACUUGUUGGCUCCAUAGCAUUUUAUGGGGAAAAGGAGCUUGACUGGGUUGGGUUUUCUGGUUAGGAGCUUGGGUAUUCUUUUUAGGGGCCAUGGUCUCGUGAACCCUGCAAAUUCCAUGAGUUGAGUGAUUAGGAAUGGAAUUUUCUCCUUUAAUAAACUUAAUUUGAAAAUUAGGGUUUAAAAUAAUCCAAUCAGUUAAAUUAUACUUAAAAGUUAUAUACUUAAUUGUUUUCUUAGCUGUGAAAACAACUUUUAAAAUUCCUUGGUUCAAAAUAUCAGUUUGAAAUUUUGAAAUGCAUAAAGGAAUGCUUAAAAUAUCAUUUAUAAUGAGAUUAUGAAUGAAUUGGGUACCUAAUAUCUUAGGUGGAUCAUCUAUUCUAACAAGAUUAAUUUCUUGAUCACAAAGAGUGAUGUUUUCACCAGGAUUAGCAAAUUCAAAAAGAAUUUCCUUAUCAAAAAGCUUUGUUCUUAUACCUUGGUUAUCUACCCACAAGAGAUAAAUAAAGCUUAAGAAGGGUAUUCCUAGAAGGGCUUUUUCCUUAAGAUCCUUAACAAGGAUAAAGGUUUGCUUAAUACAGAUGUCAUGAUUACGGAUAUAAACAUCUGUUAAUUUAUACUUAAUAGCAAGUCUUUUGUCAUUGGCUCCAAAUAGAGACUGACUAGUCUCUUCACAUAAAGGAAUAGGUACAAGACCUUCUUGAAGGCAAUUUUCAGCUGCUCUUGAAUCAAUCAAAGCAAUAAUAUCAAGGACAAAUUUAUCUUUGACUACUAUAGUAAGGAAGACUUCCCACCUCUGGAAGAUAACCCUACUCACAGUAUUCAAAAAAGUAUCUGUCUCAUUAUCAUUAACAUGAGAAGAUUCUGAAAUAUCCAUAUGGUUUCUUUGGUUGACAAUUCUAUUGAUUUGUUCUUGGAUAUCAGAAAGACCUAAACCUAUGAAUUGUCUUAAUUCCUUUAUCUCAUUUUUAUACUGCCUAACUUCAUCAUGAAGUUCCUUAAUGUUAAUUUCCUUUGGAGACUGUUGGUCAAACCUAUUUAAGAUAUCAUUAAGGUUAUAAGGAUUUACAGUCUUCUUGGCUUCUACCUUAACAACAGAUUUCUUAAAAACUUCAUAAAGAUUUUGCUUAGUCUUUUCAUCUUCAACUUUUCUUAAAGUAUCAAGGAUAAACUCCUGAUCUUGGCUUAUGAAAUUUAUAGUUUUAGGACGGCAAUUACAAUUACCUUUAAUACAUUCUGCUUGGUCACUAGAAGAUUGGCUAGAAACUCCACCACUACUGUCUAGUUGAUUAAUGUCAUCUUCAUUAUCUGAAUCAGUCCUUGAUUCAGAAUCUAUGGAGUUUAACAUUACCUUACAAAGCAUAUUUUUUAGGUUAUCUGAGACACUUAAGUUAUUAAUCUUUUGCUUAACUCUACAAUCUUUUUUAUAAUGGCUAACUUUGCCACAUUUAAAACAGAUAAUUGGCUUGACAUCUAAAGGAGUUUCUACCUUUUUCUGGGUAUCUUUGUUGACCCUUCUUUGGAAGUGUCUUGACUGCUUAGUAUUAUUCAUCCUAUAGUUGUCAUGGGUACCUCUCUUACUGUGGUAAAACUUAUCUUUGCUAGGCUUCCUACUUGGUUUUUGCUUAGAGGGAGGCAUAGUUUCUUUUUGGCUGAAACCAAACUGGCUACAGAAUGAUCCAAAUUCAUUCUUGUAGAUUUUUUGUUCAUUCUUCAUUUGUUGCUUAAGCUUGAAGUCAUUGCACAACUUAAUCCCUUCAGCUGUGACAAUGCUUAUAAUCUCACCAUACGUUAGCUUAUCAUAAGGGAUUUGACCAUUAUACUGUUCCCUUAUCUUGAUCCUAAUUCUCUCAGAGAAAAGCUUGGGUAAUCCUGAGAUGAAUUUUUCUUUCCAAAAAGACUGGUUACAAUCUGAUCUUAGCAUUACUUUGGUUAGGAAGACUUCCUUAUACCACCUAAAAUCAUGAAGUUUGGGACACUUAAGGUUGGUAAAGAGAUCUACAGUUUUAUCCUUAAUUUUUGCAGGAUCUCCAAUGAAGUGUUUGGAUAUUGAGUAGAUUAGAGUAGCCACUACAUCCUCUAUAUCUUAGUCAUCUUCGUCCUUAACAACUUCACUAUUCUCAUUAAUCCUAUAGGCUUUAAGGAUACUAUUUCUAUCAUCAAAAGUGAGAUAAUUAUCCCACCAACCCUUAAGUUGACCUGUAAACCCAGCAACAAUGGUCUGAGCUACAGCAUGAUCUGACAGUCUAUUGUUUAAUUUAUAGGCGGUACUUACCGUGGUCAUUUCUUGAAGCUUAGUGAGUAUAUUAUACUCGAUCAUACCGUCUAUGUUCCAUUCAUAGAUAGUACCACUGGUGUAUGAGGCUUGAGUAUACUGAUUUUUUUCCUCAAACUGCAUGUCAGGAAAUGUAGGUCUAGGAUAGUAAUUCCUAGUCUUAAAGGUUUCUAAAUUGUUAAUAUCUUUUGAAAUGGGUUCCUCAAACAUUUUAAUUAGUUCAUGAUAAGCAGUAUAUAUAUAUAUAUAUAUAUAUAUUCUUUUGUAAAAAAAAAUAUUAUCAUAAAGAUUGCAUCCCAUAACUUAUCAAUUUUAAUAAAAAUAUUUUAUUCGCAUUAUUUUAUAUGGUAGGACUUUCAUGAAAUUUAUACGUACAAAUUUUAAAAAGUAAUCAAUCAAUAGUUGUCGUUAAUCUUCAAUGUUGAUAGUGAGCAUCGAUGUAAUAUUCAAUAAUUAUCGCUAAUCUUUAAUGUUGAAUGUGAGUACAUACGUAACAUUCACCUCUUCUUGUUAUAAUAUUAGCAAUGGCGAUGCUACCCACCUAUAACAAAAGGGGAAGUGUACAGUCUUAUCCUUAAAUAAACAACACCAAAGAAUGAAGCUCUUCAACCGCAUAAUAUACUAAAAUUUACAUUUUGAAAAUGAAAUAAUCGUAUUUUGUGGACUAGGUGACACAUCCCAUUAAGGAGAUAGGAGAAAUCGGAAAUUAUAAAGAGAGUAUAGGUAUUUUUCAAAAAGAUUUUUUUCAAUAAAGAGAAAAAGUAUAAUUAGAAAUAAUUUUAAAAUUAUCAUAAUUAAGUAAUAAUUUUUUUUAUAAAAAAAACAAAUGCAUUUUUGUCAGAAUCGAAGGAAAAUGGGGUAAGAAAUUAAUAGCUUCGCCAAGGAGAGAAGAAAGAGGACGCAAUCAAAAGAGGCAUCCAAUGGAAGCUCCACGUGUGACGUGAUUACAUGACGGUACUGCCCUCUCCUCUACCACAUGCUUUUGUCCCGCUGUAGAUGCAGUCUGAUCGAUGGGGUAAAGAUAAAUGAAGGCUAGACUUCAUGUGACGAUUAUUUGGAAUAGCUUCUUUAACAACGAAUGGUCAUUUUCACCCUUUCAAGGGUUUUUCUGUGGAAUCCUUCCAGAGAAGCGACAACCACCACAAUUUUUUUUUUUUGGUUAUCUAUUUUUUUUAAAACAAAAAUAAUUAAUAUGUGACAACCGAUCAUACCAUAUAAUUUUUUCUUUCUCCUCCGUAAUACCUCCACCUUUUUGUUUUUUUAAUGUAUUGGUUUCAUGAGAUUUUUUUAAUUUUAAUUCUUUUUUUUUAUCUUUUUAUAUUUAUCGAUUUUAAUUAUUUAUAAAUAUUUUAAAUAUAUAAUAAAUAAUUAAUGAUAACAUAUUUAAUAUAAAAAUAAAUACAUAAUGAACAAAUCUAAAAAUUUCAAAUAAGAUUUUCUAUAUUCCUACUAAAAAAUAUUUGUUUAUUUUAUAAAUCUUAUUGCCUUAUCAUAUUAUUUUAUUGUUUGUAUUUUUUAAGAAUUUUAAAUUUUCAUAUAAAAAUGAGAGUUGAUGAUUAUAGUUUUAGCAUUUUACUUAUGGAUUUAAUUUAACCACGGUUUUAUUUUAUUUUAUUUAAUUAAAAUGUUUAAUAUGUUUAAUUAAAGAAAUAAAUACUUGGUUGUGGUUUUAACAUCUUGGUUGUGGAGUAAAUACUUUGUAUGUCCUUUCAAAGUUGCCCUAAGUACCCUCAACAAGAGAGAGAGAGAGAGAGAGAGAUGUAAUGGUAGUUUAUUUGAACAUAAAACACAUGCAUAAGUACCCUCAACAGACAAUGUACCUAAAGUUGAGGGGGGAAAAAUCACAGGAUAAAUGACUUAAAUUCUCCUUUCUAAAUUAUCUAGGAUUAAAAAUGAUUCAAUGGUUUUUCAAGCCACUUGAUUUUUGCAUAGUUUUAGUUGGUUCUAGGAUAAAGCUAGAUCAUCUUUAUGCGGCCGUAAUAACUUUGAACAUACUUUCUAGGCCAACAUCAAAUUCAAAACGUAUGAAAUCUUAAUCUUAUUUCCUAAUCCAACAUUUAUCUCUACGUACUAACAUCAAAUCUCAAACAUAUCAACUUUUGGACCCUACUGCAAACGUGACUCAUGUUCUGUUUUUUUUUUUGGUUUUUUGGACAGGUACAAAUGGCUACUCAUGGCUAGCAUUGCCUGAAGCGUCUCCAUCAUAUCAUCUACAUAUUUGAUUUAUUGGAGGAUGUCUAGCCGGCAAUGGGAUCCACCCUAUUCUUUCGUGACCAGGUUGCAUAUACCACUACAAGAUCCCACACCUCUCUUCUUGUUACACAAUGUAAUGCAGUAACAGUACCACUAUGACCUCUAAGCAUGCGAACACUGGUCUGAAUUUUCUUUUGACCAAAAGAGGAUAGAUCUUGUUUGUGAGGAGUUCCAUUCUCAUUUGCAGCUAAACAAGAGAGAGAGAGAGAGUGUGUGAGAGAUGUAAUGGUAGUUUAUUUGAACAUAAAACACAUUCAUAAGUACCCUCAACAGACAAUGUACCUAAAGUUGAGGGGAUAAAAAAACCACAGGAUAAAUGACCUAAAUUCUCCUUUCUAAAUAGUCUAGGAUUAAAAAGUUGGUUCAAAGUUUCAACAAGUAUUAGUUCUAGAAAAAAUUAUAAUAAUUUGGUUUUUUGAAAUUAUUAUAAUAAUUUGGUUUAGGUUUCUCCCUUCACACAACCCCCCCUCCGCCUAACCAUCCAAUACUACCAUUUUUAUGGAUCAUUGUCUGUGUUUCUUCUCCCAUUGUCCUACAUCUUAUGUGGCAACCCUUAUCUUGGGUUAACCCUAAUCCUACCAUUGCCAUGUCAUGUCCAACGUGGCCGAGCCGCCACCGGGAUUUUCAGGUUUCUGGCAGCCCAGACAUGUAGUGACAUUUGGGGCCUCUCUUGUGGGUCUUGAUCAAGAAUAUUGGAUAAAGGUCGUGUAGGAAAUGAGCACCGGCACCUAGUCAUCAGAGGAUAAGAGCUUUGGAUAUUAAAUUGAGGUUUUUGAAUGGAACAGUAAGGAGAAGACUAGUAGCUGAACGUAUGUGUGAUGAUGAUGAAAAAUGGAUUUUUCUUAAAGACAGAAAUUGAAAAAUGGAUUUUUUUUUUUUUUUUGGGAACUAAAGAAUUUUAGUAAUUGUAAGCUUAAAUUGUUAGGAUCCGAACCUAUGACUUGUAUCGACUAAUGGUGGGAAGUAAUUAGAGACAAGAAAUAGUUAACAACGUGAGAAAAGAAAAAACUAAGAAAAGUUAAAAAUAAAAUUUGUAUUCCUAUAAACAACCCAUAGCUAUUAAUCAAAAUUAGUACCAAACAAGACUUUACUUUGAAGGGAAAUGGGAAUGAAUCCAUUUCCCAUCUUUUGUCAUUUUCAUUCAUUUUUUCUUUACCCACCAAUAACCAACUUCCAAAUUAGGCACUUGAUUCCCAACCAUCACUACCAUCAAACGAUGUAUUCACGUCGAGGUUUAGGUUUAAUUUGGUUUUGUUUGUCCCUUUUCCUUUGGUUUUUUUUUGUUUUUUUCUUAAGUUUCAGAUGGAAAUCAUAAAUCAAAAUGAUUCAAUGGUUUUUCAAGCCACUUGAUUUUUGCAUAGUUUUAGUUGGUUCUAGAUCAUCUUUAUGCGGCCGUAAUAACUUUGAACAUACUUUCUAGGCCAACAUCAAAUUCAAAACAUAUGGAAUCUUUAUCUUACUUCUUAAUCCAUCAUUUAUCUCUACGUACUAACAUCAAAUCUCAAACAUAUCAACUCUUGGACCCUAUUGCAAACGUGAAUCAUGUUUUGUUCUUUUUUUUUGGUUUUUUGGACAUGUACAAAUGGCUACUCAUGGCCAGCAUUGCCUGAAGCGUCUCAAUCAUAUCAUCUACAUAUUUGAUUUAUUGGAGGAUGCCUAGCCGGCAAUGGGAUCCACCCUAUUCUUUCGUGACCAGGUUGCAUGUACCACUACAAACGGAUGAUGAUAAGGAAAAAGGUGGGCAGAUCUACAUACAAAGUAGAAAACGGGUUGAUCAUUUUAUAUCAGGAAUUUAUAUAUAUAUAUAUAUAUAUAUAUGUAGUUUUAUGAUUUUUUUAUAAAAUAUUUACAAAAAUUAAUAAUUGUAAAAGUAUUUUCAAUUAUAUGACAAAUAUUUUGAUCUAUGUCAUGAUUGAAACAUUAUUUUUUUUAUGAUAAUUUAUAUGGUAUUAAAUAGAAAAUAGUCUCUUACGUAGAUGAUUUAAUUAUACAUUUAUGUAUUUAAGUUAAAAUAUUUGUCUAAAAGAUGGCUUAAUGAUUGAAAAGUGUUGCAUCUAUUUUAAAAAUUAUUAUAUUUUAUAAAUUAAUUUCUAAAACCUAAAUUAAUUUAAUUAUUCAAUUUUGAAUUACAAUAUAUGUAUAAGAUAAAUUUAAAUUUAAAUUUUACGCCCCUUUAUAAUUUUAUUUAAUUUUUUAAUUAUAAUCAUAAUAUUUAGUGGGUGUUUGAUAAAUCAAUUUAAUAACUUAAAAGUGAUUUAAUAACUUAAUUUAAACCAUUAUAUAUAUUAAGUAUGUUUGAUAAACUAACUUAAUGAUGUAACUCAAAGUUAUUUUUUUUGAAGUAAAAAAUAAUUAACUUGUUUUUAAGUUAACAUCUUCAUUUUUAUUUUUUAUUUUUUAUUUUUUAUUUUUUAUCUUUACUUGUUCUAAUUAUCUUAACGAUCUCCUUUACUACUUUAUGACCUCCUCUAUUCAUUUGUCUUAAUUAUAAUUUAUGAAAAUAAGCAUAUCAAUUUAAUAAUUUAAAAUAAAAUUUAAGUUAAUUUUAUCAAACAAUCUAAAUACUUAAAGUAAAAAUUAAAUAAUAAGUUUUAAAUCAAUCACUUUAGUAGAAUUGAGUAUUAAAGUUAUUAAAUAAUGAGUAUUAAAUUUUACCAAAUAGCCUUUAGAGGCUAUCAAUAAUUAGUAACCCUACGGAUCGGGUGCUAGUUUCCAAUAGCAUGUGCUAUGUUUGAGCUGUUAUAAGAUGGUCCAAAAAAAGCCGCAAGAACUUUAGGAUAGGAAUAAGUGAUAGUAGAAGGCCACCAUAUGCAUAGUGCCAUAUGAUUGUGAAAUAGGCAUGUAACACAUGUUGAAUGAAUUAUUCUUGUUUUAACUUUUUGAAAAUGAUAGCAUAUUUACAAGUGUGCGAGAUUCAAUGAAUUCAAUUGUGAAUAUUAAAAUCUACUCGAAGUAGUUUAAUCAAUUUGGAUGCAACAAAAACUAAAUACCUAAUUUUUUUAAUAAAAUAAUUUUUUAAAUUAAAAAUAUUUUCUAAAAUUACUUUUGGAUUCCUAAACUCUUAAUUUUAAACGUGCUUUUUUGUUCAACACCAAAUCUGAACCGUAUGGAAUCCCAGACCUCCUUCUUGAUCAAAUGCCAAAUUCCGAGUCAAUACAAACUUGGACAUGUUGCCGUAAAAAACAGAAAAUUUCAAACAUGGCAUCUCUCCGACCCGACGUUUGGAGCCCUCAUUUUCAAAUAAGCCGGAGCUGUAAUCAUUGUCAACGGAAAAAACAAUUUGGCUUCUUGAGGGUUGAGACACAAAUGAGUCAUGACUGGCAUUGGAUGAAUCAUCUCAAUAAAUGAUAUAUAUCACAUAUUUGAUUUUAUUGGAGGGUGGGAUGCCACCCGUCCUUUGCUGACCCUGUUGUAUGUGCCACUAGAAUAGAUAAACGUCUGCAGACAAGGGAGAAAAUAGUGUCAAAUGGACCCAGACCUCUUAUUAGCCACACGUUAGGAAUUUUUUUAAUAUAAAUGUGUAGUUUUAUGAAAUUUUUAAAAACUAUGUACAAAAAUUUGAUAAUUAUUGAAGUAUUUUGAAUUAUAUGAUAAGCAUUUUCAAUCAUUUCAUGCUUGAAACAUUAUUUUUAGAUUUAUGAUAAUAUGUGAGAUAUUGGUAGAAAGUUAUCUAUUAAAUAGAUCGUUUAAAUAUAAAUUUAUGUAUUUAAAUUUGAAAUGGUCUUUUAAAUUUUUUUCUUUUAAAAUUUGUAUUUUUAUCAAAAACCUCUAUUUUUAUUUUAUUUUUUGAAAGUAUACAAUAAAAGGUUAUAAAAGAGUUGGAAAGACGUAUUUUGUUUAUCUCUACCUUAUUCAUAAAAGAGAUGGUUUUUCGAUUCUUUAAUACCUAAAAUGAGUAUGGAGAAGCCAAAAUUAUUUAUGAAUAAUUGAAGUUACUCUUUAUUAAACUUCUCUAUAAUUUACAAUUUUUCCAAUAAGAAAAUCAAUGAUCUUUCAAGACAUGGUUAGAGGCGUUUAUAGCAUGUUUGUAAGCUCUUAUAACAAACUUUUCUCACUUUUUAGUCUUAUUACGUAUGAUGUCAAAGAUAAUUAACUUCUUCUUUUUUAACGUCAGGUAGCUACGAGAAGUGGUUAAUUCUAGAGGUCAUCUCUUGUGAAGGACCUUACUCAUAGAAGGGGUGAUUUUUAGUAUCUUUAAGGUUGUGUGUCAUUUAACUAUAAAAACUCUUCAAAAACUUCCAACUUUAAAACAGACUCGUGUUGUUCGUUAAAGAUUAGAUAUUUUAGUUAAAUUGGGUCAUCAGUACUACUACCUCUUUUUUUGAAAUAGCCUUGAAGUUGGAUGGUUAAAGGGUAAUGCUAAUUUGGGAGUGUUUUUGUUUUUUUAUUUGUUUCAGUCAGUGAUGAAUUGACUAUAUUUAAUUUUUUUUAACUUUUCUUUUAAUUGUUUAAAUUAAUGAGAGAAUUUAUUAUUGUUUUCUUCUACCGUUACUUUUGGUUUAGAGAUAUAAAUUUUCCUUAAAUUUAUUUGAAAAUUAUAUCAUGUCAUUUUCAAUUUAUUAUUUCUUUUCAUACUAUCAUUAUUUUUAGUUUUAGUAAAUAAAAUUAUUUUUUUUAAAUAAAUAAAUAAAUAAGCCUCAAGUGGGUCUCGAACGUAUGAUUUGGAUGUUUUGUUUGCUCCUUGGACUCAUGUGUGGGGUGACAAUGGAUUUUGUCCAUGGGGUUGAUAUUGUACUGACAUAAGAAAUAUUAACAUGAACAUUAGUCAUUUAAUAAUCAUGACAAAAUAUAUGUAACAUGACUCAUUUAUUACAACAUACUAUUUAACUGAUUUAAUAAAUAUGUUAGGUUGAUGCGCACAGGCCUCCUUUUGUGGCUGCUCGAGGCUUGAGCCCGUAAACCAUUUGUAUAAAUCUUGUUCCUUUCUUUUGCAAGGAAAAGAAGACUCCCAAAAAAAAUAGAGAAAGCCUAAAUGCCCAAGAAAUAUUUUAAUAGAAGAAAUAAGUCUUAUAUAAUUUUGCACUGCCACUUAUUAAAACUAGUACUUCAAACUCUUUAUGAAAUAUGUCAUACAUGCACGUGCUAACAUUUUGAACACCAUCCCAUUACAAAGCCCCUUAUACAAAAUACAAUAUAAAGGUAGGAAUUUUAAGCAAGUAAUCGAUAAGUUGGCGUGGCUAACAGGUGAUCAACCCUCGGCAUUGUCAAACCAAAUUUCUCUUUCAUGUUCAAUUCACUUGGUGGUGUGUCAUUUGGUAACUUCCAAUUAAAACAAUGCACCAAUUGAGAUACUACGAGUUGAACAGUUAUUAGACCCAAUUGAAUUCCAGGGCACCCUCGACGACCUGAUCCAAAUGGAGUAAGUUCAAAAUCAUGCCCUUGAAGGUCAAUAUUGUUUUCAACGAACCUCUCAGGAAAGAAUUCUUCAACAUUGUUAGACCAAACAUUAGGGUCUCUUCCAAUUGUCCACGUAUUUAUCAGAAUUCUUGACUUCUUAGGUAUGUAAUGUCCAUUAAUUACAAUAUCUUCUAUAGACUCACGUGGAACUAGAAAUGGUCCAAUAGGAUGCAGCCUUAAGGUUUCUUUCACCACCAUAUUCAAGUAGCCCAAAUUUUCCAAGUCAGAUUCUUCCACCAUUCGACACAUGCCAACUACAUUCUUUAACUCUUCUUGAAGUCGUCUCAUCACCCUUGGAUGCCUUAGUAGUUCGGAGAUAACCCACUCAAU